AAAUCAAAAAACAAAACGCAUUAUUUCUCGAAGGCUCCGCAUUAAGUUUUUGGUUACAUAGGAACAAAGAUAAUAAAUUUCAAAUUUUCGACAGCUUUUCAUUAUAAUCAACGUCUUUCGUGGGAGAUCAAAAUAAGCUGGCAACAAUAGCAAAAUGCUGUAAAGUUUCGUGUGGAUAAACGGACCUGUUGGAAUAGCUGUUCCAAACCAAGAGAUACCUUAUGAACAUUUAUUUAUCACAGUUGAUAAACGGGAAAAAAUGUCGGAAGACCAAAUAAAGGAAGAGAUUGAUUCUGAAUUUAAAUGGGAAGCUUCAAGAUUCAUCGAAUUACGAAGUUCAGCAUCGAAACCAUUAAAGUUAACAACAUAUUAUGGUCAUCUUCGUUUAUCAAAUACGCCUCAAAAUAUUAGUGUUAACAUUUGUUGUAGCUGUGAGCUGACAAUGUUCUGUCGUAAAGAUGAAAACUAUUUCGCCUUGACCUGUGCACAUGACAUCUGUAAAGGACAAUGGAUUCCCCUAGAAUGUUUUGUGUUGCUAUUGGCCGAGGACAAACGUCUCAGCUUGGGUAAAGAAACUGGAAUUGCCGCACAAAAAUGGUUGGAAAAAACAUAAAGUCAGAAUAUUCACAUUUGCAGACAACUUUAAAAGUGCCCAAAAGUUUGCUAGAAGAGCCAUUGCCACUUCAAACAUUGAAUCCGAUGAUGAGUCAAUCAACGACAAGCCACGAAAACGUCCUCAUCUCAACAGGAGUAUGGAAGAAUUUCCAGAUUACAGUGACAUAGAAAACGAUGAUGACAGUGAUGAACCCGUAAUUCAACACAGAGUCCCUCAGUUACCUCCUGCUCCACGUUACGCAUCUUUUAGUAUGAACAAUAAGUAUUUAUUGGAAU